GAGUGAAGCGGCAACAGCUCAAAUUUGAAAGYUGGCCUUCGGGUCCGCGUUGUAAUUUGUAGAGGAUGCUUUUGGUUAGGUGCCUUACGAGUUCCCUGGAACGGGACGCCUUAGAGGGUGAGAGCCCCGUACGUUUGGUUACCGAGCCUCUGUAAAGCUCCUUCGACGAGUCGAGUAGUUUGGGAAUGCUGCUCUAAAUGGGAGGUAAAUUUCUUCUAAAGCUAAAUACCGGCCAGAGACCGAUAGCGCACAAGUAGAGUGAUCGAAAGAUGAAAAGCACUUUGAAAAGAGGGUUAAAUAGCACGUGAAAUUGUUGAAAGGGAAGCGUUUAUGACCAGACUUUUUCCUAGCGGAUCAUCCGGCGUUCUCGCCGGUGCACUUCGCUAGGUUUAGGCCAGCAUCGGUUUUCGCAGGGGGAUAAAAGCAGUGGUAAUGUGGCUCCCUCCGGGGAGUGUUAUAGACCGCUGUAUAAUAC
rnacentral:rRNA from 1 species